AGUGAACGCUGGCGGUAGGCCUAACACAUGCAAGUCGAACGGAAGCACAGUAAGAGCUUGCUCUUACGGGUGGCGAGUGGCGGACGGGUGAGGCAUACAUCGGAAUCUACUUUUUCGUGGGGGAUAACGUAGGGAAACUUACGCUAAUACCGCAUACGACCUACGGGUGAAAGCAGGGGAUCUUCGGACCUUGCGCGAUUGAAUGAGCCGAUGUCGGAUUAGCUAGUUGGCGGGGUAAAGGCACACCAAGGCGACGAUCCGUAGCUGGUCUGAGAGGAUGAUCAGCCACACUGGAACUGAGACACGGUCCAGACUCCUACGGGAGGCAGCAGUGGGGAAUAUUGGACAAUGGGCGCAAGCCUGAUCCAGCCAUACCGCGUGGGUGAUGAAGGCCUUCGGGUUGUAAAGCCCUUUUGUUGGGAAAGAAAAGCAGCAGGUUAAUACCCCGCUGUUCUGACGGUACCCAAAGAAUAAGCACCGGCUAACUUCGUG
rnacentral:rRNA from 1 species